GACGAACGCUGGCGGCGUGCUUAACACGUGCAAGUCGAGCGAUGAAGUUCCUUCGGGAAUGGAUUAGCGGCGGACGGGUGAGUAACACGUGGGUAACCUGCCUCAUAGAGGGGAAUAGCCUUUCGAAAGGAAGAUUAAUACCGCAUAAGAUUGUAGUACCGCAUGGUACAGCAAUUAAAGGAGUAAUCCGCUAUGAGAUGGACCCGCGUCGCAUUAGCUAGUUGGUGAGGUAACGGCUCACCAAGGCGACGAUGCGUAGCCGACCUGAGAGGGUGAUCGGCCACAUUGGGACUGAGACACGGCCCAGACUCCUACGGGAGGCAGCAGUGGGGAAUAUUGCACAAUGGGGGAAACCCUGAUGCAGCAACGCCGCGUGAGUGAUGACGGUCUUCGGAUUGUAAAGCUCUGUCUUCAGGGACGAUAAUGACGGUACCUGAGGAGGAAGCCACGGCUAACUACGUGCCAGCCGCCGCGGUAAAAC
rnacentral:rRNA from 1 species